rnacentral:lncRNA from 1 species
CUGCAUUGAGCCAUCAUUUUCGAUGACUUCCACUCCUGUCCAAAGUCCUCCCAAAGACUCUGUGAAGUCCAGGGCAACAGAGAAACAUCUUUGCAGGCACCUGUGAACACAUUGUGCCCAACAGGAAAUUCAAGCUCUUCUUCUAUUUUCAAACUAAGGAGUCACUCUCAUAAACAUCGCAGGGGUCGGGGAGGUGGAUGGGAAUUGCUUGACUUUCCUACAAUGCUUGGAGAUUCUUAGAGCUGGAACGUUUCCAUUUUGAUGUUCCCGCCACUCUCCCUCUUAUUUCCUGCAAAGCACCUUAGUCAAUCUUCGGAGUCUCCUUUGCUAGACUAAUAUGGCAGCCGCCAGCCACAUGGAGCUACUGAGCGCUUGAAAUGUGGUUAGUCUUUAUUGAGGUCAGCUGUAAGCGUAAAAUACACACUGGAUCUUGAAGACUUAGUGUGAAAAAAUAAUAUAAGCAAACCCAGGCCAG